GCAGCAGCCGCGGUAAUACAGAGGGUGCAAGCGUUGUUCGGAAUUACUGGGCGUAAAGCGCGCGCAGGCGGAUCCUGUAAGUCGGAAGUGAAAUCUCGCUGCUCAACGGCGAGACGGCUUCUGAUACUGCGGAUCUGGAGACCGGUAGAGGCUGGUGGAAUUGCAGGUGUAGCGGUGGAAUGCGUAGAGAUCUGCAAGAACACCCGUGGCGAAGGCGGCCAGCUGGGCCGGUUCUGACGCUGAGGCGCGAAAGCGUGGGGAGCAAACAGGAUUAGAUACCCUGGUAGUCCACGCCGUAAACGAUGGGCACUAGGUGCUGGGGGGAGCGACCCCUUCAGUGCCGCAGCUAACGCGAUAAGUGCCCCGCCUGGGGAGUACGGCCGCAAGGCUGAAACUCAAAGGAAUUGACGGGGGCCCGCACA
rnacentral:rRNA from 1 species